AGUGAACGCUGGCGGUAGGCCUAACACAUGCAAGUCGAACGGCAGCACAGUAAUUUCUUGCUCUUACGGUUUGCGAGUUGCGUACGUGUGAUUUAUACAUCGGAAUCUACUUUUUCGUUUGUCAUUACGUAGCUUAACUUACCCUAAUACCGCAUACUACCUACCGUUGUAAUCAUUUGUUCUUCUGACCUUUCUCGUUUGUUUUAGCCGAUGUCGGAUUAGCUAGUUGGCGUGGUAAAGGCCCACCAAGGCGACGAUCCGUAGCUGGUCUGAGAGGAUGAUCAGCCACACUGGAACUGAGAAACGGACAAGAGUACUAAGGGAGGAAGCAGUGGGGAAUAGUGGACAAGGGGCGGAAGCAUGAUACAGCAAGACCGCGUGGGAGAAGAAGGACUUCGGGUUGUAAAGAAGUUUUGUUGGGAAAGAAAAGAAGAAGGAUAAAAAAGGGAUGAUAUGACGGUAACAAAAGAAUAAGCACCGGCUAACUACGUG
rnacentral:rRNA from 1 species